UCUUACAGAUGAGCAAAGAAAGUGGUUUCUUGAGAUGACAUCUAUUCUUGGUGAAGAUGCUGUGAA
rnacentral:pre_miRNA from 1 species